UACGUAGGUGGCGAGCGUUGUCCGGAUUUACUGGGCGUAAAGGGCUUGUAGGCGGUUCGUUAAGUCUGGUGUGAAAUCUCCCGGCUCAACUGGGAGAGGUCAUUGGAAACUGGCGGACUAGAGACGGGUAGAGGAAAGCAGAAUUCCCGGUGUAGCGGUGAAAUGCGUAGAUAUCGGGAGGAAUACCAGUGGCGAAGGCGGCUUUCUGGGCCUGUUCUGACGCUGAGGAGCGAAAGCAUGGGGAGCGAACAGG
rnacentral:rRNA from 1 species